GAAAUGCGAUAAGUAAUGUGAAUUGCAGAAUUCAGUGAAUCAUCGAGUCUUUGAACGCACAUUGCGCCCCCUGGUAUUCCGGGGGGCAUGCCUGUCCGAGCGUCAUUGCUGCCCUCAAGCACGGCUUGUGUGUUGGGCCGCCGUCCUGGGUGGAUAAAACCACCCAGGACGGGCCCGAAAGGCAGCGGCGGCACCGUGUCCGGUCCUCGAGCGUAUGGGGCUUUGUCUAUCGCUCUUGUAGGUCCGGCCGGCGGCCUGCCCAACCAACCUAAAUUUUCUCCAGGUUGACCUCGGAUCAGGUAGGGAUACCCGCUGAACUUAA
rnacentral:misc_RNA from 1 species